CCCUUAGAUGUACUGGGCCGCACGCGCGCUACACUGAUGCAUUCAACGAGCCUAUCCUUGACCGAGAGGCCUGGGCAAUCUUGUUAACGUGCAUCGUGAUAGGGAUAGAUUAUUGAAAUUAUUAAUCUUGAACGAGGAAUUCCUAGUAAACGCAGAUCAUCAAUCUGCAUUGAUUACGUCCCUGCCCUUUGUACACACCGCCCGUCGCACCUACCGAUUGGAUGGUCCGGUGAAGCCUCGGGAUUGUGGUUCUUGCCGCUUUAUUGUGGCGUGACCGCGAGAACUUGUCUAAACCUUAUCAUCUAGAGGAAGGUGAAGUCGUAACA
rnacentral:rRNA from 1 species